UUAGUUCUAAUAUUAAUAAAGAACGUAACGAAAUAUAAUAAAUAAUAUAAAUUACAAAAUUUAAUAAAUUAUCGAAUCUUUAAACGUAUAUUAUACUUACUAAUAUUCUAACGAAUAUAUUUAUUCGAA
rnacentral:rRNA from 2 species